rnacentral:tRNA from 1 species
GCCUGCCUAGCUCAAUCGGAUAGAGCGUCAGACUCUUAUACAACGUACAUGGAUGAUGGUGUAGGCAAUCUGAAGGCUGCGAGUUCGACCCUCGCGGUGGGCU